rnacentral:rRNA from 1 species
AUGUGUGGGGAGGUCGACAUCUUGCGUCUGAACUUUGGGAUUCUUUCUUUAAUUCCUAAAGUUCAGGGUGCGGAUAAUAUUAGGUAGUUUAGAUCCAUCGCACUGAUUAAUGUUUCGUUUAAGAUUUGCUCGAAAGCUUGUGCAACUCGUUUAACUCCGGUAGCUCACCGUAUCAUUAGCAGAAACCAAUCGUUUAUCCGCGGCCGCAACAUUCUGGAGGGGCCCCUAGCUCUCCUCGAGAUUGUGCAUGAACUUAAACGCUCACGCCAACCAGCGAUCCUUCUGAAACUUGAUUUCAAAAAGGCGUACGAUCGUGUAAACUGGGAUUUCCUGAGACAGGUCCUCUUGGGAAGGGGGUUCUCAUUGAUGUGGGUCCAUAGCAUGAUGCAACUGGUCUCGGGGGGGCGGGGGCAAACUACGAUUGCGGUCAACGGAGAAGUAGGGAACUUCUUGCAUAACAAGCGUGGGCUGCAUCAAGGCGACCCUACAUCCCCGCUUUUGUUUAACUUCAUGGCGGACGCCUUCGCGGCAAUGUUAGACAAAGCUAGGGCAGCAGGCCACCUUAGGGGGUGGUAA